rnacentral:rRNA from 1 species
AGAGUUUGAUCCUGGCUCAGAAUCAACGCUGGCGGCGCGCUUAACACAUGCAAGUCGAACGAGAAAGGGGAGCAAUCCCUGAGUAAAGUGGCGUACGGGUGAGUAACACGUGGGUAAUCUACCUCUGGGUGGGGAAUAACCCUGGGAAACCGGGGCUAAUACCGCAUAACACUGAAAGGUCAAAGGCGCAAGUCGCCUGGAGAGGAGCCCGCGGCUGAUUAGCUAGUUGGUGAGGUAAAGGCUCACCAAGGCAUUGAUCGGUAGCCGGCCUGAGAGGGCACACGGCCACACUGGCACUGAAACACGGGCCAGACUCCUACGGGAGGCAGCAGUGGGGAAUCUUGCACAAUGGGGGAAACCCUGAUGCAGCGACGCCGCGUGAGCGAUGAAGCCCUUCGGGGUGUAAAGCUCUUUCGGCAGGGACGAUAAUGACGGUACCUGAAGAAGAAGCUGCGGCUAACUACGUGCCAGCAGCCGCGGUAAUAC